rnacentral:rRNA from 1 species
CCUACGGGCGGCAGCAGUGGGGAAUAUUGGACAAUGGGGGCAACCCUGAUCUAGCCAUGCCGCGUGUGUGAAGAAGGCCCUCGGGUUGUAAAGCACUUUCAGUGAGGAAGAACGCCUGGUGGUUAAUACCCAUCAGGAAAGACAUCACUCACAGAAGAAGCACCGGCUAACUCCGUGCCAGCAGCCGCGGUAAUACGGAGGGUGCGAGCGUUAAUCGGAAUUACUGGGCGUAAAGCGCGCGUAGGUGGCUUGAUAAGCCGGUUGUGAAAGCCCCGGGCUCAACCUGGGAACGGCAUCCGGAACUGUCAAGCUAGAGUGCAGGAGAGGAAGGUAGAAUUCCCGGUGUAGCGGUGAAAUGCGUAGAGAUCGGGAGGAAUACCAGUGGCGAAGGCGGCCUUCUGGACUGACACUGACACUGAGGUGCGAAAGCGUGGGUAGCAAACAGGAUUAGAUACCCUAGUAGUC